UACGGAGGGUGCGAGCGUUGUCCGGAAUCACUGGGCGUAAAGGGCGCGUAGGUGGCGCGGCAAGUCAACGGUGAAAGCUCGACGCUCAACGUCGAGUCGGCCGUCGAUACUGCUGGGCUUGAGCACUGUAGAGGCAGAUGGAAUUCCGGGUGUAGCGGUGGAAUGCGUAGAGAUCCGGAAGAACACCGGUGGCGAAGGCGGUCUGCUGGGCAGUAGCUGACACUGAGGCGCGACAGCGUGGGGAGCAACAGG
rnacentral:rRNA from 1 species